AGUAUGUGGUUUAAUUCGAUGCAACGCGAAGAACCUUACCUGGUCUUGACAUCCCGGAGACCCUUAGGAACUAGGGGUGCUUCCAUCUGGAAGAAUCUGGAGACAGGUGCUGCAUGGCUGUCGUCAGCUCGUGUCGUGAGAUGUUGGGUUAAGUCCCGCAACGAGCGCAACCCUUGCCUUUAGUUGCCAGCAGUUCGGCUGGGCACUCUAAAGGGACUGCCGGUGUUAAACCGGAGGAAGGUGGGGAUGACGUCAAGUCCUCAUGGCCUUUAUGACCAGGGCUACACACGUACUACAAUGGCCGAUACAAAGGGCAGCGACACUGCGAGGUGAAGCCAAUCCCGUAAAAUCGGUCUCAGUCCGGAUUGGAGUCUGCAACUCGACUCCAUGAAGUUGGAAUCGCUAGUAAUCGUGGAUCAGCAUGCCACGGUGAAUACGUUCCCGGGCCUU
rnacentral:rRNA from 1 species